UACGGAGGGUGCGAGCGUUAUCCGGAAUUACUGGGUUUAAAGGGUGCGUAGGCGGCUAAGUAAGUCAGGAGUGAAAGUUUGCGGCUCAACCGUAAAAUUGCUUUUGAUACUGCAUAGCUAGAAUUAGGAUGAGGUCAGCGGAAUGUGGCAUGUAGCGGUGAAAUGCAUAGAUAUGACAUAGAACACCAAUUGCGAAGGCAGCUGGCUAGACAUGGAUUGACGCUGAGGCCCGAAAGCGUGGGGAGCGAACAGG
rnacentral:rRNA from 1 species